ACUCCGCCAUUUUCCUCCGGAAGUGCGGCACCCAGAGGCCGUCCUGUAGCCGGGCCGGCUUGGGGCUUGGUUCUAUGUCCCUGCGGGUCGGUGCAAGGGCGAAGAGGAACCCGUGGGCCUCAGGGGAUCCCGGGGGGCCGGACCAGUGUUCCCUAGUUGUGGGAGCAGACGCGUGGGCACAUUGCGGGCGGGCAGGGCCUGAAGUGCAGAAGUUUAUACGAGACCUAGUUUCCAGGGAAGAACUCACUGAUUCCGCGAGGGAGAUGGCUUAAUGGAUGAUGGUCGUCAGCCUUAAGGAUACUUCAGUCUUAACUGUGUGUUACAAAGUUUGAAAGGGAGGGUUCCCUAUGAAUAAGAAGCACACUUGAAAGAACAGCCAUCUGGUCUAACCUCUCACUGGUGCUUCAGAGGAGGAAAAAAGGUCACAGCUAUGUUUCCAGUGUCCUCUGGGUGUUUCCAAGAGCAACAAGAAAUGAAUAAAUCUCUGUUGAAGAGAUACCAUUUGACAUUUUAGAGAUGGCUGCAUGCAAACUCUUGAAACAUUUGACCACCCUCCAGGGUGCCCCGACUCACUUUCCCUGCAGAUGGAGGCAAGGAGGCUCCACAGACAACCCCCCUGCCUGAGGUCACAUAGUGGCCAGCAGGCCAGAGCUGGCGCAGAGAAAAUACAAGCUGAGCUUAGAACAUCUUCUGCCAGAAAGUAAAAAAGUGCCGACAGAGUAAUGGAGACAAAUCAAAGAGACAUAAAGUCAGCUUGGAAUGUCUACUACUGGCCUAAUCUUGGGGAAUUGGAGCAUCAGAAUCAUGAGCUUUCCUUCUCCCUUAUUUAUUGGUUUUAUUUCUCCAUGUAGAACAAAGAAGAGAAUAAGAAAAUAAUCAUCUGGUAACCAUCAUAGUAAUAAUUGUUCAAACACAAGUCAUCCAUGAAAUGCUAAAUCUAGUGGGUUCUGAGGAGUAACCAGAUAUUUACAGAGCCUCAAAGUAUCUCCAUACAAAAUACGGUUGAACUACAAAAAGAAAAUUGUAACAUUAGCAUGGACAAACCUGGCAGGUACUCCUUAACUCUCCUAAGUAAUAAAAACUGUAAAAUGCAAAUAAGCCUUCGAUGACCUUUACUAACCUUUACUAAAGUAUCAGUGAUGACUUGGUUGUUUAAACAGCUGACAUUUGGGCAAUUUGAGUAUGUCAAACUCAAUAAUACUGGUUUUCAUUUGCAAGAUCCACUUAAAACUUAAGGAGGCCAAAAAACAUCAUUUAAAAUACCCUAUAAAUUAUAAUCAUACAUAUGAUACAAAAAUAUCCUACUUCAGUAAAUAUUGGAAUGUUAUAUAUUUUAUGAGAAACAAUUAAAAUGUGUAAAUAGCCCAGUAAUAAAGUUUUAUAAUCUUUUAAA
rnacentral:lncRNA from 1 species